rnacentral:rRNA from 1 species
AUUGAACGCUGGCGGCAUGCUUUACACAUGCAAGUCGAACGGUAACAGGCCGCAAGGUGCUGACGAGUGGCGAACGGGUGAGUAAUGCAUCGGAACGUGCCCAGUCGUGGGGGAUAACGCAGCGAAAGCUGUGCUAAUACCGCAUACGAUCUAUGGAUGAAAGCGGGGGACCGUAAGGCAUCGCGCGAUUGGAGCGGCCGAUGUCAGAUUAGGUAGUUGGUGGGGUAAAGGCUCACCAAGCCAACGAUCUGUAGCUGGUCUGAGAGGACGACAGCCACACUGGGACUGAGACACGGCCCAGGCUCCUACGGGAGGCAGCAGUGGGGAAUUUUGGACAAUGGGCGCAAGCCUGAUCCAGCAAUGCCGCGUGCAGGAAGAAGGCCUUCGGGUUGUAAACUGCUUUUGUACGGAACGAAAAGGUUUGGGUUAAUACCCUGGGCCGAUGACGGUACCGUAAGAAUAAGCACCGGCUAACUACGUGCCAGCAGCCGCCGUAA